GGCACCGCUCCGGCUGGUGAGUCUCCAGAGGCGGUUGAUGCAUCUUUCGCCGUUGAAUUAGUGAAUCUGAUACGUCUUCUUCUCCUCGUGUUCGUCUCGGUGAAGCUCUCUCUCUCUCUCUCUCUCAAAAAAUUUCAAACUCUUUGCGCUCUGUCCCCUUCACCAGAAGGUAAUAGUUAUAUCAUAUAACCAAGAGAACACUGAGACGGUGUCGUUUUUUGAUCCCUUCCUUAAUUCACUCAAGUUAAUUAAUUAUCUUCUCCUAAGAAAACCUAUAUAAUCAUGUAAAUGGACAGACACAAAAAAAGCUAAUUAUCCCCAUAAGACUUUUGUCGCAUGUAUUUUUAGGGAAAUAAAUUUAUUUUUUUUGUUAGUAAUUUUUUGAUUGGAUGGAGUGGACUGACGACUUCGUAGCUAUUGGCAUAAGGUUAAACUCGUGGGACCCAGGCAUGACGAAUAUUUCAGAAUGUGUGAGAAGAGAACCCAUCACUUUCAGAAGCUCUAGAUCAUGGCAGUGCCCACCAACCACUAGAAAGAACAUCCCACGAAUAUUUUUUUUCUUUUCGUGAUCUAAAUUACAAAUCAAGUGUGGACGCCGCAAAUCAAAAUAAUAAUGCUAUUUUCUAGUUAAUAAUAAUCUUUCAAAGGAAUUAUUAGUGUUGUAUAUUUUUAGUUUAUACUCCCUCCGUUUUUUAUUAUAAGUAGUUUAAAAAAAAAUUUUGUUUCAAAAUGUAAGUAGUUUCUAAA
rnacentral:lncRNA from 1 species